AGCGCCUGGGGGAAGCGUCGUUUGCUCCGAGCGUCGGGCCCAGCGAGGGGCGUCCGUCGCAACAUCUUCUUAGAGGGAUCGGCGGCGUCCAGCCGCACGAGAAAGAGCAAUAACAGGUCUGUGAUGCCCUUAGAUGCUCUGGGCCGCACGCGCGCUACAAUGAAGGGAUCAGCGUGCUCUCCCCCUCCGAAAGGAGCGGGUAACCCGUUGAAACCCCUUCCCGAUUGGGAUUGGGGCUUGUAAAUAUUUCCCAUGAACGAGGAAUUCCCAGUAAGCGCGAGUCAUCAGCUCGCGUUGAUUACGUCCCUGCCCUUUGUACACACCGCCCGUCGCUACUACCGAUUGAAUGAUUCAGUGAGGGCAUCGGACUGGCGCCCUCGGUAGCCUUCGGCUCGCACUAAAAGCUUCGUGUUCGCGCGGAGCUGCGGCCGCGGGCACCCCGGGCUGACGGAAAGAUGUCCGAACUUGAUCAUUUAGAGGAAGUAAAAGUCGUAACAAGGUUUCCGUAGGUGAACCUGCGGAAGGAUCAUUA
rnacentral:rRNA from 1 species